UACGUAGGGGCCGAGCGUUGUCCGGAGUUAUUGGGCGUAAAGCGCGCGCAGGCGGCUUCGCGCGCCCGCCGUGAAAGCCCCCGGCUUAACCGGGGAGAGUCGGUGGGGACGGCGGAGCUUGAGGGCGGGAGAGGUCGGUGGAAUUCCCGGUGUAGUGGUGAAAUGCGUAGAGAUCGGGAGGAACACCUGUGGCGAAGGCGGCCGACUGGGCCGACCCUGACGCUGAGACGCGAAGGCGUGGGGAGCGAACGGG
rnacentral:rRNA from 1 species